CCUACGGGUGGCAGCAGUGAGGAAUAUUGGUCAAUGGGCGAGAGCCUGAACCAGCCAAGUCGCGUGAGGGAAGACGGUCCUAUGGUUUGUAAACCUCUUUUGCCGGGGAGCAAAAAGCGGUACGUGUACCGCAUCGCGUGUACCCGGUGAAAAAGCAUCGGCUAACUCCGUGCCAGCAGCCGCGGUACUACGGGGGAUGCGAGGGUUAUCCGGAUUUAUGGGGUUUAAGGGGCGCGAGGGCGGCGGGUUAAGUCAGCGGUAAAAUUUCGGGGCUCAACCGCGACGAGCCGUUGAAACUGGCUUGCUAGAGUGGGCGAGAGGUAUGCGGAAUGCGUGGUGUAGCGGUGAAAUGCAUAGAUAUCACGAAGAACUCCGAUUGCGAAGGCAGCAUACCGG
rnacentral:rRNA from 1 species